rnacentral:rRNA from 1 species
GAUGAACGCUGGCGGCGUGCUUAACACAUGCGAGUCGAACGAAGCACUUUAUUUGAUUUCCUUCGGGACUGAUUAUUUUGUGACUGAGUGGCGGACGGGUGAGUAACGCGUGGGUAACCUGCCUUGUACAGGGGGAUAACAGUUGGAAACGGCUGCUAAUACCGCAUAAGCGCACAGCAUCGCAUGAUGCAGUGUGAAAAACUCCGGUGGUAUAAGAUGGACCCGCGUUGGAUUAGCUAGUUGGUGAGGUAACGGCCCACCAAGGCGACGAUCCAUAGCCGAACUGAGGGGGUGACCGGCCACAUUGAGACUGAGACACGGCAGAAGCUCCUACGAGAGGAAACAGUGGGGAAUAUUGAACAAGGGGCGAAAGCCUGAUGCAGCGAGGCCGCGUGAGGGAAGAAGUAUUUGGGUAUGUAGAGGUCAAUCAGCAGGGAAGAUAGUGACGGUAGCUGAAGAAGAAGCACCGGCUAAAUACGUG